UCAGACGAUGCGUCAUGCAUAUCAAUAAGCGGAGGAAAAGAAACUAACAAGGAUUCCCCUAGUAACGGCGAGUGAAGCGGGAAGAGCUCAAAUUUGAAAUCUUAAAGGGUUUCCCUUUACGAAUUGUAGUUUAAAGAAGUGUUUUCUGUUGAGGUUUUGGUAAAAGUUCUUUGGAAUAGGACAUCAUAGAGGGUGAGAAUCCCGUAUUUGACCUUUACUUUCAACUUUGUGAUACACUUUCAAAGAGUCGGAUUGUUUGGGAAUGCAGUCCAAAAUGGGUGGUAAAUUUCAUCUAAAGCUAAAUAUUGGCGAGAGACCGAUAGCGAACAAGUACCGUGAGGGAAAGAUGAAAAGAACUUUGAAAAGAGAGUUAAACAGUACGUGAAAUUGUCAAAAGGGAAGCGUUUGACACCAGUGUUGUUUUUCUGAAAAUCAAUUAAGGAACUGUUUAUGCUAAGCUGUUUAGACUUUAUCAGCUAUCUGUUUAGUUUUGAGCUUUUCUUUAAUGCACUUUUCAGUUAACAAGUCAACAUCAAUUUCUUUUGCUGUAAAAAAGCUUGAGGAAGGUGGCUUGAGAUUCGUCUUAAGUGUUUAUAGCCUCUUGCCUAUGCAGUCGGAGAGAUUGAGGUCUGCAGCGUAGAUCCUUCGGGGCUAAAUGCAUCUGUGCUAAGUUAUAGCAUUUUAUAGACAACUUGUUGACUAUGAUUUGUCUUGUAGCUUACUCGCUUAUGUUAUUUUACCUACGCUUAGGAUGUUGACACACGCGCGUGCUCGA
rnacentral:rRNA from 1 species